rnacentral:rRNA from 1 species
CCUACGGGGUGCAGCAGUGAGGAAUAUUGGUCAAUGGACGCAAGUCUGAACCAGCCAUGCCGCGUGCGGGAAGACGGCUCUAUGAGUUGUAAACUGCUUUUGUACGAGGGUAAACGCAGAUACGCGUCUCUGUCUGAAAGUAUCGUACGAAUAAGGAUCGGCUAACUCCGUGCCAGCAGCCGCGGUAAUACGGAGGGUGCGAGCGUUAAUCGGAAUUACUGGGCGUAAAGCGCUCGUAGGCGGUAUGUCAAGUCAAGGGUGAAAUCCCCGCGCGCAACGGGGGACCUGCCUUUGAAACUGGCAGACUGGAGUGUGAGAGAGGAUAGUGGAAUUCGAGGUGUAGGAGUGAAAUCCGUAGAUAUCUGGAGGAACACCAGUGGCGAAGGCGACUAUCUGGCACAUAACUGACGCUGAGGAGCGAAAGCGUGGGUAGCAAACAGGAUUAGAUACCCUAGUAGUC